rnacentral:rRNA from 1 species
GGGGAAUAUUGGACAAUGGGCGAAAGCCUGAUCCAGCAAUACCGCGUGGAUGAAGAAGGUCUUCGGAUUGUAAAGUCCUUUCGGCGGGGACGAUGAUGACGGUACCCGCAGAAGAAGCCCCGGCUAACUUCGUGCCAGCAGCCGCGGUAAUACGAAGGGGGCUAGCGUUGCUCGGAAUGACUGGGCGUAAAGGGCGCGUAGGCGGUUUGAUCAGUUAGGUGUGAAAUUCCUGGGCUUAACCUGGGGGCUGCACUUAAUACGGUCAGACUAGAGUGUGGAAGAGGGUCGUGGAAUUCCCAGUGUAGAGGUGAAAUUCGUAGAUAUUGGGAAGAACACCGGUGGCGAAGGCGGCGACCUGGUCCAUUACUGACGCUGAGGCGCGAAAGCGUGGGGAGCAAAC